GAUCCUGGCUCAGGAUGAACGCUGGCGGCGUGCUUAACACAUGCAAGUCGAACGGACUUUAAAUGAAACCUGGUGAUUUUAAAGUUAGUGGCGGACGGGUGAGUAACGCGUGGGUAACCUGCCUUGUACUGGGGGACAACAGUUGGAAAUGACUGCUAAUACCGCAUAAGCGCACAGCUUCGCAUGAAGCAGUGUGAAAAACUCCGGUGGUACAAGAUGGACCCGCGUCUGAUUAGCUGGUUGGUG
rnacentral:rRNA from 1 species